UACGGGGGGGUGCGAGCGUUGUUCGGAAUUACUGGGCGUAAAGCGCGUGUAGGCGGCCCUGUAAGUCGGGUGUGAAAUCCCACGGCUCAACCGUGGAAGUGCAUUCGAAACUACAGGGCUAGAGUUCUGGAGAGGAAGGUGGAAUGCUUGGUGUAGAGGUGAAAUUCGUAGAUAUCAAGCGGGACACCGGUGGCGAAGGCGGCCUUCUGGACAGUAACUGACGCUGAGACGCGAAAGCGUGGGGAGCAAACAGG
rnacentral:rRNA from 1 species